UACGGAGGGGGCUAGCGUUGUUCGGAAUUACUGGGCGUAAAGCGUACGUAGGCGGCUUUGUAAGUUAGAGGUGAAAGCCCAGGGCUUAACCCUGGAAUUGCCUUUAAGACUGCAUCGCUCGAAUUGUGGAGAGGUGAGUGGAAUUCCGAGUGUAGAGGUGAAAUUCGUAGAUAUUCGGAAGAACACCAGUGGCGAAGGCGACUCACUGGACACAUAUUGACGCUGAGGUGCGAAAGCGUGGGGAGCAAACAGG
rnacentral:rRNA from 1 species